rnacentral:tRNA from 1 species
AGUUUUAUAGUUUAAAUAAAACAUUAAAUUGCAAAUUUAAUAAUGGUAAUUCCUAAGACUU